rnacentral:rRNA from 1 species
CCUACGGGUGGCAGCAGUGAGGAAUCUUGGUCAAUGGACGAGAGUCUGAACCAGCAAAGUAGCGUGAAGGAUGACUGCCCUCUGGGUUGUAAACUUCUUUUAUAAAGGAAUAAAGUGAGGCACGUGACCCUUUUUGUAUGUACUUUAUGAAUAAGGAUCGGCUAACUCCGUGCCAGCAGCCGAGGUAAUACGGAGGAUCCGAGCGUUAUCCGGAUUUAUUGGGUUUAAAGGGAGCGUAGAUGGGUUGUUAAGUCAGUUGUGAAAGUUUGCGGCUCAACCGUAAAAUUGCAAUUGAUACUGGCAGCCUUGAGUACAGUUGAGGUAGGCGGAAUUCGUGGUGUAGCGGUGAAAUGCGUAGAGAUCACGAAGAACUCCGAUGGCGAAGGCAGCCUACUAAACUGCCACUGACAUUGAUGCUCGAAAGUGUGGGUAUCAAACAGGAUUAGAUACCCGGGUAGUC